rnacentral:rRNA from 1 species
CCUACGGGUGGCAGCAGUGAGGAAUAUUGGUCAAUGGACGAGAGUCUGAACCAGCCAAGUAGCGUGAAGGAUGACUGCCCUAUGGGUUGUAAACUUCUUUUAUAUGGGAAUGAAACGUUCCACGUGUGGGAUUUUGUAUGUACCAUAUGAAUAAGGAUCGGCUAACUCCGUGCCAGCAGCCGCGGUAAUACGGAGGAUCCGAGCGUUAUCCGGAUUUAUUGGGUUUAAAGGGAGCGUAGGUGGAUUGUUAAGUCAGUUGUGAAAGUUUGCGGCUCAACCGUAAAAUUGCAGUUGAAACUGGCAGUCUUGAGUACAGUAGAGGUGGGCGGAAUUCGUGGUGUAGCGGUGAAAUGCUUAGAUAUCACGAAGAACUCCGAUUGCGAAGGCAGUUCACUGGACUGCAACUGACACUGAGGCUCGAAAGUGUGGGUAUCAAACAGGAUUAGAUACCCCAGUAGUC